GACGAACGCUGGCGGCGUGCCUAACACAUGCAAAUCAACUUGACUGAAGGAGCAAUCUGACAGUAGAGUGGCGCAAGGGUGCGUAACGCGUAAGUAACUUGCCCAAGGUAAGGAAUAACGUCGAGAAAUCGGCGCUAAUACCUCAUAAUGCAGCGGAUCCGCAUGGAUAUGUUGUUAAAGGUUUACCGCCUUGGGAUAGGCUUGCGUCUGAUUAGUUAGUUGGUGUGGUAACGGCACACCAAGGCUACGAUCAGUAACUGGUCUGAGAGGAUGAUCAGUCACACUGGAACUGAGACACGGUCCAGACUCCUACGGGAGGCAGCAGUGAGGAAUAUUGGGCAAUGCUCGAAAGAGUGACCCAGCAACGCCGCGUGGAGGAUGAAGGUAUUCUAUAUCGUAAACUACCUGUGAGAGCAGACGAAAGACAGAUUAUUAAUCUGGAUGACUGUAUGCUCAAAGGAAGACCCCGGCUAACUACGUGCCAG
rnacentral:rRNA from 1 species